rnacentral:rRNA from 1 species
UACGUAGGUGGCAAGCGUUGUCCGGAUUUAUUGGGUUUAAAGGGUGCGUAGGCGGCCCUGUAAGUCAGUGGUGAAAUCCUGGAGCUCAACUCCAGAACUGCCUUUGAUACUGAGAGCCUUGAGUUCGGGAGAGGUGAGUGGAACUGCGAGUGUAGAGGUGAAAUUCGUAGAUAUUCGCAAGAACACCAGUGGCGAAGGCGGCCAACUGGUCCGGUACUGACGCUGAGGUGCGAAAGCGUGGGGAGCAAACAGG